CUCCGACCCCACAGAACAUCUGCACCCGCACUGCUUCCUGCUGAGUAAAGGGUGCGCUGUGUCACUGUGACGGUGUCUCCUACAGAGAAACACGGGUUGGUGGGUUCUCUCCUCCGCCUCCUUCUCUGGGUGCUUUGUGCAUUUUGACAAAUGGUUCCACCCACUGGCUUUGGUUUCAGAUCAAAGAUCCGAGUCCUGGUCCUGCCUCCUUCCUGCUCAUCUUAAGCAACUCAUUGGAUCCCCUGGACCUCGGUUCCCUCCGCGGGGAUCAUGCUGAGCAUUUGCCUUGGAUCUCAGAAGACUUUGCCCUUGAAAGCUUUGGCCCAGCUUCUGGGGUCCUCAGGUCUGUCUCCUGGACCCAGCACAGACAGGGGAAGCAGAGGUGGCACCCAGAGGGGCAUCUGGAUAUCACCCAGAAGCACCUUGUGGAACCCGGCCACCCC